rnacentral:rRNA from 1 species
CCCUUAGAUGUUCUGGGCUGCACGCGUGUUACAAUCGGGAGUACAACAAGAUUGCAAAUCCUAGUGGAUGAGUGGUUCUUCGAAAUUUUCUGAAGACUGGGAUAGUUGAUUGAAAUUAUUCAACUCAAACGAGGAAUUCCUUGUAAUUGUAAUUCAUUAUAUUGUAAUGAAUACGUCCCUGCCCUUUGUACACACCGCCCGUCGCUCCUACCGAUUGAACGAUCCGGUGAAUUAUUUGGAGUAGCUCUGGAAGUUGCAGAACUUCCUAUGUCACGAAAUUUUGUAAACCUUACCGUUUAGAGGAAGGAAAAGUCGUAACA